rnacentral:lncRNA from 7 species
ACGAGACGGCAGCGGACGGCGCGCGGGCUGGUGGGCGCUGGUCGUCGCGGUACCAAUGCGGCUGGGCCGCUGGCGUCCCGCCGGCCGCCUCAGCCUCACUUCUGGAGGAAGGCCGGCCGCUGUCGAUUUUCUCGGCGAGAGCUAGCCACCUUCACCAACGUCGUUUGAAUGCACUCCAUCUCCAUCUCCCUGUGAAACGAAACAGGACAAGCUAAGGGCGGUGUUGCUGGCUGGAUGCAGAUGAGCAGAUCUAGCUAGCCGCGCGUGUGCGGCGCCAUCCGGCCGGCAUGCAGGGUGUACAUCCUGGCAUCAGCUCGGGCAACGACGGCCGUGGCACAUGGCGCUCACGCGACGCGCAGCCUGGCGCCAAUGGAUUUCUGCUGUGAAGUAGGAGUAUAUUGGUUCCAAGUUGGGAUGCUACAUUGCUACCUGCUGGCGGGUGGUGGCGACCGUCUCGACCUUAGCUUUCCUUUCUCCGGGCCAGCUAGUUAGCUUGAGUGGCUUGAGUGGCCGGACUGGACCAACAAGUUUGACCGGGCGCCUGUCUCCUAGCGCCUCUAGUACGUGUGCACCAGCACCAUCCUCCUCUGCUUCUCGCUCCAUGGAAUUUAGGCAUUGUCCGUGUACUGUGCGACUACUAGUCUGUCUACUUGUAAUCCAAAUCU